GGUUCUCGUACGAUCACAGAAGUUAAGCAACGUCGAAUCUGGUCAGUACCUAGAUGGGUGACCGCUUGGGAAUACCAGAUGCUAUA